rnacentral:rRNA from 1 species
UACGUAGGGGGCAAGCGUUGUCCGGAAUCAUUGGGCGUAAAGAGCGUGUAGGCGGCCAGAUAAGUCCGCUGUGAAAUCUCGAGGCUUAACCUCGAGACGUCGAUGGAAACCAUCUGGCUAGAGUCCGGAAGAGGAGAGUGGAAUUCCUGGUGUAGCGGUGAAAUGCGCAGAUAUCAGGAAGAACACCCGUGGCGAAGGCGGCUCUCUGGGACGUGACUGACGCUGAGACGCGAAAGCGUGGGGAGCAAACAGG